AUGGUGGCAUGCGCCAAAAACAUGGGUGUGCCCUGUGGUUCUGGGAUGUUCGGCCACGCGCUGCAUGCUGUUGCAUGUUUCAGCAAAGAGGAGAUCGCAGCCAGAGUGGACUGCUUGAAGAACACGUUCAUGUGGACGGAUGCUGAGGUGGCCAUUGCCGUUUCCAAGGCUCCAUUGAUGCUGACGAGGUCCAAGGAGUCGAUGCAGCGUAGCUCUGAGUUCCUCAUCUCCGAGGUUGGCUUGGAACCGGCAUACAUUGCUCGUCGGCCGGCAGUGCUCACUUACAGCCUGAAGGGCCGGCUCAGGCCCCGGUAUUACGCUGUAAAGUUCCUCAAGGAAAAUGGAUUGCUCAAUCAUGACCGGGACUACUAUUCUCCAGUUUUAGUGAGCAAUAACGAUUUCAUGAAGAAGUACAUAUGCCCUCACAAGGAAGCUGCACCACACCUUGCUGAAGACUAUGCAGCAGCUUGCAGAGGGGAAGUGCCUGCGAGAUUCAUAUUUGCAUGA
rnacentral:rRNA from 1 species